rnacentral:lncRNA from 1 species
CAUCACCAAGUGCAACAAUGAAACCUGUACACUCCAUCUCUCUUACAUAAAUUAGUUUUCUACCCAUAUAUGGAAUAUACCUAACUUCAUUUAUUGUGUACACAAACUCACUAUCAAAUUUGACAAUCACACUAUCAACGCUAGUGAUCUUAUAUGCAACUUCACCCCAUGCAACUACAUAUCCACGAUCAGACUCAUACAAAUGAUCAAACCAUAGUUUAUUUGAUUUUACUAUAAAAAGAAGCACCGAACUGAAGAAUCACUCAUGCAUAUGAAAGUUCAUAGACUGGUUAAAUUCAGUUAGUUCAGUAUCUAAAUGUAUAUAAAUCUCACCAGUUUUAUCUCUUUAGAAAACAAGGUUUGACCUACUAGGUUCACCACCCUUCUGAUCUCUUCAUUUAUACAAUGUCCUAAUUUCUCAUAAUCAUAACAUUUCCUCCCUAUGACUUAGAUCUACAUCUCCAUUUUUCUUGUCAAAAUUGUUUUGCCUCUCAUCAUCCCUGAACUAGAUCGUCGGUGAAUCUCUCCUGCUUUUCUCUCAUUUCUUUCAACUUUCAUUUUCCUCUCUUAGCCUUUAAGGAAUUGAUGACUAAUUUGCAUGUAAAGGUCUCCUGUCGAUAUUUGAUUGCAUUCUUAAC